AUACGUAGGGGGCGAGCGUUGUCCGGAAUGAUUGGGCGUAAAGGGCGCGUAGGCGGCCCGGUAAGUCUGGAGUGAAAGUCCUGUUUUUAAGAUGGGAAUUGCUUUGGAUACUGUCGGGCUUGAGUGCUGGAGAGGUAAGUGGAAUUCCCAGUGUAGCGGUGAAAUGCGUAGAGAUUGGGAGGAACACCAGUGGCGAAGGCGACUUACUGGACUGUAACUGACGCUGAGGCGCGAAAGUGUGGGGAGCAAACAGGAUUAGAUACCCUGGUAGUCCACACUGUAAACGAUGAAUGCUAGGUGUAGGGGGUAUCGACCCCUUCUGUGCCGCAGUCAACACAAUAAGCAUUCCGCCUGGGGAGUACGGCCGCAAGGUUGAAACUCAAAUGAAUUGACGGGG
rnacentral:rRNA from 1 species